AGAGUUUGAUCAUGGCUCAGGAUGAACGCUAGCGGCAGGCUUAAUACAUGCAAGUCGUGGGGCAGCAGGUCCCGCAGCAAUGCGGGAUGCUGGCGACCGGCAAACGGGUGCGGAACACGUACACAACCUUCCUUUAAGUGGGGAAUAGCCCGGGGAAACCCGGAUUAAUACCCCGUAAUAUAAUAGAGUGGCAUCGCUUUAUUAUUAUAGCUCCGGCGCUUGAAGAUGGGUGUGCGACUGAUUAGGCAGUUGGCGGGGUAACGGCCCACCAAACCUACGAUCAGUAACUGGUGUGAGAGCACGACCAGUCACACGGGCACUGAGACACGGGCCCGACUCCUACGGGAGGCAGCAGUAAGGAAUAUUGGUCAAUGGACGCAAGUCUGAACCAGCCAUGCCGCGUGGAGGAUGAAGGUCCUCUGGAUUGUAAACUUCUUUUAUCUGGGAAGAAACCCACAAAUUCUUUUGUGGUUGACGGUACCAGAUGAAUAAGCACCGGCUAACUCCGUGCCAGCAGCCGCGGUAAUACGGAGGGUGCAAGCGUUAUCCGGAUUCACUGGGUUUAAAGGGUGCGUAGGUGGGUUGGUAAGUCAGUGGUGAAAUCUCCAGGCUUAACUUGGAAACUGCCAUUGAUACUAUCAAUCUUGAAUGCCGUGGAGGUCAGCGGAAUAUGUCAUGUAGCGGUGAAAUGCUUAGAUAUGACAUAGAACACCAAUUGCGAAGGCAGCUGGCUACACGAAUAUUGACACUGAUGCACGAAAGCGUGGGGAUCAAACAGGAUUAGAUACCCNNGUAGUCC
rnacentral:rRNA from 1 species